rnacentral:rRNA from 1 species
AAGAGAGUUUAGCAUAUGCGCGAGUCAUUGGGUGGUAAACCUAAAGGCGUAAUGAAAGUAAAGAUCGCUUCUAGCGGUUGAUAUGGGAUCCGUGCAGUUUCGGCUGUGCGGCGCACCAUAGCCCCGUCCCCGUUGCUUGCAAUAGGGCGGAGGUAGAGCGCAUACGCUGAGACCCGAAAGAUGGUGAAAGC